GCUACUAUAUCUGCAUGGAUGACCGAGAUUGUCUCUUUGAAAUCUCCAUGAAUGGAUCUUUUUAAAUCUGCCAGCAUGUCCUGCAUUGCAUUGACAGUGAGUCCAGGGUCUAUGCCUGGUGAAGCAGGGUAAGUAUCAAGGGGAGGAAUAAAUGAAUGUUGCUCACUCACCCUUUUUUGUUUUUUAGGCUCCUGUGAAGCUGAAGGACUGGAGUCUGCUGAGGAGGGAGUCCCUGAAGAACGCUGGUCGGGUGUCGCUGCCGGAGAUACGCGGAGCUCUCCCUCUGUGUGGCGGGAGUCGGCGCCAUUUUGGAACGAGCCAGGAGCAGGGUGGAAGAACGCAGUCAUUUUCUGGGGCUGCGUUCCCUUCUUCUUCCCUCUCGUCAUCAUCAGACGAUCUGCGGGGACAAGGACCGUCCAGAGACAGGUUUUCAAUGCAAUGUGGGAAGAUCACAGAAGCAAGUAAAUCAAGAAAGUGGAAGACCGCGCUGCUUAAUACAACUCCUCCCUUCUUGUUUCCAGAAUGAAGAUUCCACUUGAUUAUUUUGCUUGUGUGCUUUUCAACCAAAAACCUGUGAGUCCGAACCCUUAUCUUAUCAUUAACAUGCAAACAUUGUAAAUGUUUUGCUUCUGAAACAUAUUUAGUCCUUA